AGAGAUCCAUGAGGUGCUGUGGGUGCACACAAAGAGACAGGGAACAGAACCCCACCCUCCCGUGUGCUGUUCCAGCCCUGCUGUGGGUGGCACUAAACAUCCACGGGAGAAAUGGCUGAUAGUUACUAAACCACAGGGACUCCAAGGAGCCGAGUACCUGGUGUUGCACAAACUGAGGGAGCCACAUCACAACCUCACAGCUGGAACCACAAAACUUCUGGUUUUCCAAACAACUGUGACACGUGACCUCAGAACCCUUCAUAAGCAAAAAUAUCCGAAAGGGCACAUAACAACAUAACACAGUUGCUGCAAUCACAAUUACAGGAAGAAGUAUUUAUAAAGGAAGACGCUUCAGUCCAUCUUAGCAGGAAAUCCACCUGAUGGGCCACUUGCCCUCUUGCUCAGGAAGGCAUUACAUGGAUCAGGCUGCAGCUGGCAAGCUGCCAGCCUCGUGGUUUGGAGAGGGAACUGACUCGGGAAACACUGCUGCUGCUGGGACGUGGGAUGGGAGCACAGGGCUUUCCUUCCUUCCUUCUUUUUGUGCCACGGGGCAGGCCGUGGGGGAAAGGGGCUGGCAUGAGCCCCUGUGGCAGGUGUUUUUCCCUCCUGCUGGCAGAGAUGGGUGGGAAAGUGGAGCGGCACAUCCCACUGCCUUCUGAAAAAGCAGGUGCAUUGAUUUGACUGAUUUUUUUUUCUCUGUUGGUGGCAGUUGAACUGCAUUGAACUGGGGCAGAAUCCGCUCCCUGCGAUGUUUAAUUCAGUCUUAGAGGCGCUUCACGCUCCCUGCAAGUUUUCCCCCCAAUAAUCCUGCUGUAGAAUUCCCCAGCUUGUUGGAGCGAGGGCCAGGAGGCUUCGGGCUGCGCCGGGCAUCCUUGCGGGCAGGAACCACCCUCCGCUACUUUGGGAUACCUUGUCCCGGCUGGGGUGAGCCGGGAAAGCAUCCAUCCAUCCAUCCAUCCAUCCCUC